AUGAACCGUUGCCGCAGGCUAGCGGGCAUGCUUGGGUGCGCUGCCUCGGUUGACAUGCAUGCUCCUGCUCCUCGUGGGUCGACACGUGCCCUGGCUUCAUCGAGCCACGCCGGCGGAGGUUCCUCUAGCCAUGCCGCCUCGUCGUCUCGCAUUGUUGACGAGACCGAGGAAGAAGAUGAUCAAAGAGAAGAGGACAAGGUGGAAGAGGGAGAAGAAGAAGGAGGUGACGAUGAAGGAGGUGAUGAGGAGGAGUACGACGACGAUGACGAACCUCCACCGACUCAGGCAACCCUGGAGAAGAGGGUUUCUCAUCCACACGAGGAUGUUUUGAGUCCAUCACCGUUCCAGAAAGAACGCCCUCGUUGUCGCCCGAACAAGCCGGACGAAGGCUGCUCGAAGAAAAACGAGGAGCGUGCCGCCAAGAGAGGGAUGGGGGGGGGGACUAGUUCGUGUUGA
rnacentral:rRNA from 1 species